GGUGGCUCAAUGGUAGAGUACUUGCCUCGGAUGCAUGAAGUCCUGGGUUCGAUUCUCAGCACCA
rnacentral:tRNA from 1 species